rnacentral:rRNA from 1 species
UACGAAGGGGGCUAGCGUUGCUCGGAAUUACUGGGCGUAAAGCGUGCGCAGGCGGCUAUGCAAGACAGAUGUGAAAUCCCCGGGCUCAACCUGGGAACUGCAUUUGUGACUGCAUGGCUAGAGUACGGUAGAGGGGGAUGGAAUUCCGCGUGUAGCAGUGAAAUGCGUAGAUAUCUGGAGGAAUACCGGUGGCGAAGGCGGCAUCCUGGACCGGCAUUGACGCUGAGGAGCGAAAGCUAGGGGAGCAAACGGG